GAGGGAGCGUAGACCUUUUUCUUCCGUAUUUUCACCUCUCCAACGUUCUCUUCCAUUGACCUCUCCGUCCGUUGCUGGAAAACCAGUUUUCUGCUCCCACCCGCAUUGGAGAAUCUCAGUGUUGUGUACAAAUUCCUCGAGAUCUCAGUUCAGAACAAAAGCAUCAAUGGCUGAGAGAGUGACGGGGAAAAGUAGAGGGGAAGUGAAAGUGUUUGAUUCUGAAGAGGAACUUGCUGUGUCUCUAGCGAAGUACACUGCCGAUUUGUCGGAGAAAUUUUGCAAAGAAAGAGACUUUUACUGUGGUUGUUUCUGGUGGUUCACUUAUCAAGUCUCUCAGGAAAUUGGUGGAGCCACCAUAUAUUGAUUCAAUAGACUGGUCCAAAUGGCACGUUUUCUGGGUGGAUGAGAGAGUGGUUCCAAAGGAUCAUCCUGACAGCAAUUAUUUGCUUGCUUAUGAUGGUUUUCUAUCCAAGAUACCUAUUCCUGCUGGUCAUGUGUAUGCCAUAAAUGAUGCAUUAUCAGCAGAGGCUGCGGCAGAUGAUUAUGAAACUUGUCUAAGGCACUUAGUUAAGAGCAAGAUUCUAGACAUCUCUAAAGAGAGUGGAUUUCCAAAAUUUGAUGUAAUGCUAUUGGGUAUGGGUCCAGACGGACAUGUAGCUUCCUUGUUUCCCGGGCAUCCUCUUGUCCAUGAGAAAGAGAAGUGGGUCACCUUCAUCACGGACUCUCCAAAACCUCCGCCGGACAGGAUUGCAUUGACAUUUCCUGUAAUAAACUCAUCUGCAAAUAUCGCACUUGCUGUAGCAGGCGCUGGGAAGGCAGAUGUAGUGCAUAAAUCGCUAGGUGAUAGUAAAAGUUCUGAUUUGUUGCCUGUGCAGAUGGUUUCACCUGAAGGAGAAUUGGUUUGGUUUUUAGACAAGGCUGCAGCUUCAAAGCUGUAAGGACAAAGAUAUGUGAGUUGCAUAUUAGUGCUUCACUGCUGUGUGUAUUAUGUUAUUCUAAUACAUUCUCAAGAAGAAGGGUUGUUUUUCCCAGUAUUGUCUGUGAGAUGUUGAGGUUUCAUAUGCCAUGAUCCACUUUUUGGUAGUUUUUUCCUCACUUUAUGUAAUGAUCCUUGACUAUCAGAAAGUCGGUAAUAAAACUGCAGUUUAUGCUGUUAUUA